GGUUUGAAGGUAAGAAUGUUUUGAUUUUUAAGAAUUUAUUCGGCAGCAGCGGCGACUAGGGCAGUGGCAGGAGUCGGGGCUUGCAGCGGGCCUCGGGGCUAAGAGUGCGGCACGACCUAGAGCAGCAGACAGCACAGUGCGCCAAGAAGGAGGCGCAGCAGCCGCCCUGACCCAUCAUGGAGAUGGAAAAGGAGUUCGAGCAGAUCGACAAGUCCGGGAGCUGGGCGGCCAUUUACCAGGACAUCGAAUACAAAACCAGUGACUUCCCGUGUAGCGUGGCCGAGCUUCCUAAGAACAAAAACCGAAAUAGGUACAGAGAUGUCAGUCCCUUUGACCAUAGCCGGAUUAAACUACAUCAAGAAGAUAACGACUAUAUCAAUGCUAGUUUGAUAAAAAUGGAAGAAGCCCAAAGGAGUUACAUUCUUACCCAGGGCCCUUUGCCUAACACGUGUGGGCACUUUUGGGAGAUGGUGUGGGAGCAGAAGAGCAGGGGUGUCGUCAUGCUCAGCAGAGUGAUGGAGAAAGGCUUGUUAAAAUGCGCACAGUACUGGCCACAAAAAGAAGAAAAAGAAAUGAUCUUUGAAGACACAAAUUUGAAAAUAACAUUGAUCUCUGAAGAUAUCAAGUCAUAUUAUACAGUUGGACAGCUAGAAUUGGAAAACCUUGCAACCCAAGAAACUCGAGAGAUCUCACAUUUCCACUAUACCACAUGGCCUGACUUUGGAGUCCCGGAAUCGCCAGCCUCAUUCUUGAACUUUCUUUUCAAAGUCCGAGAGUCGGGGUCACUCAGUCUGGAGCACGGCCCUGUGGUGGUGCACUGCAGUGCGGGCAUCGGAAGGUCUGGGACCUUCUGUCUGGUUGAUACCUGCCUCAUGCUGAUGGACAAAAGGAAAGACUCUUCUUCCGUUGAUAUCAAGAAAUUGCUGUUAGAAAUGAGGAAGUUUCGGAUGGGGCUGAUCCAGACAGCAGACCAGCUGCGCUUCUCCUACCUGGCUGUGAUCGAAGGUGCCAAAUUCAUCAUGGGAGACUCUUCCAUGCAGGAUCAGUGGAAGGAGCUUUCCCACGAGGACCUGGAGCCCCUACCAGAGCACGUCCCCUGGCCUCCCUGGCCACCAAAACGAAUCCUGGAGGCACACAGUGGGAAAUGCAGGGAGUUCUUCCCAAACCACCAGUGGGUGAAGGAUGAGACUGGGGAGGAUAAAGACUACCCGAUCAAGGAAGAAAAAGGAAGCCCCUUAAAUGUGGCACCCUACAGCAUAGAAAGCAUAAGUCAAGACACUGAAAUAAGAAGUCGAGUCAUGGGGGGAAGUCUUCGAGAUGCCCAGGCUGCCUCCCCAGCCAAAGGGGAGCCGUCAUCGCCCAAGAAGGAGGAAGACCAUGCACUAACUCACUGGAAGCCCUUCCUGGUCAACAUGUGUGUGGCUACGGUCCUCACGGUCGGUGCGUACCUAUGCUACAGGUUCCUGUUCAGCAGCAACACAUAGCUUGACCCUCCUCCACUGCACCUCCACCCACAGUCCACCUCUGCCCGCAAAGCCCACAUCAAACUAGCAGGGAUGCUGCAGUAGGUAACGGCGUAGAGAGUCGGGCCCUGGACGGACGUUGGUUCUGCACUAAAACCCAUCUUCCCCAGAUGUGUCUCAACCC